CGAAAGGUAUAGUCCAUUACUAGAGUCCAAUUCCUUUCCCUAUAACUCACGUUUCAUCAUUUUCUUUUCACAUUCUCUCUCUAACUCACAGUCACGCUCCAUUUCUCUCCCCCUGAAUUUGCAGCGGCAGCUGCCGCCUCCUGGCCCGGUGAACACUCCGCCAGCCGCCGACUCCCACCGGCGUCUCCCUCUCUUUUUUUCCUCAUCUCUCUCUAUUCUCCCCCAAUUUCAGAAAAGCAUCUUCUUCCCCAAAUCAAAAAAAAUACAAAAACCCUAAAACGUCUCCCUUCCUCUUAAGUCCGACGAGCAGUCGCCAUGACUGCCGCCAGGACGCCCUCCACUCUUGAUCUCUCUUUUCCUGAAAUCGCCUCAUCUCUGCCUUGGGUCGGACAGCAGCCUGACGGCCACCGCCGCCGUCACUCUCCUCCCCUGCACAUCACCGUGGACGAUCAGCGACCGCCGCGGUGCCAUUGCCGCCGCCGCCGUCCUCCUCAAAGCACUCCAGAAAAGUUGUCUCCCAUUUAAAAUUCAAUACACGCUGCCUAUCUCCCAUUCUCAUUCUAUUUCUAUGCUUCUGAUUUCUUUUCAAUGAAAAAGUUGUAGGGAUGAAUGACUAUCGAGCACGCAGCAGCUGAAGAUUCCGUGGAUUAAUUGAAGAAUGAUAGAAUCAGGAGUGCGUUGGAGCACAAGAGAGAGAAAGUGCCUCUCUCUCCUCCAACUGAAAGGCCACCGCACAACCACCCUCCUCCAAAUCCACGCCUUCAUGCUCGUCAACGCGCUCCACGACAACCUCAACCUCCUCACGAAGCUCAUAACCACCUUCUCCGCCGCCAACCCGCACUGCGGCACUGCUCACGCCCGCCGUCUGUUCGAUCAAAUGCCGCACAGGUCCGAUGCUUUCCUGUGCAACACUAUGAUAAAGUCGCACUGCUCAUCUCGCCAGUUUUCUGUAGCCGUUAGGCUUUACGCUCAUCUGAGGAGAGAAGAAGGCUUCGUGCCGGAUAAUUACACAUUCACCACACUGCCCAAGUGCUGCGGCUUGGAUUUCUUGAUGCGGGAAGGAAUGGAGGUCCACGCUCAUGUCGUCAGGUAUGGAUUCAACUCCAAUACGUAUGUGACGACUGCGUUGGUUGAUAUGUAUGGGAAGCUGGGGCAGAUGGAUUUUGCUAGAAAAGUGUUUGAUGAAAUGAUCGAGAGGAGUCCGGUGUCGUGGACUGCGCUUAUCAAUGGAUAUAUCAGGGGUGGGGAUAUGGAUAUUGCAAAAGCAAUUUUCGAUGGGAUGCCUGAGACUCAGAAAGAUACAGCUGGUUUUAAUGUGAUGCUUGAUGGGUAUGUGAAGUUAGGAGAGAUGAGAUCGGCAAAGAUGUUGUUUGAUGCCAUGCCGGAGAAAAACGUAGUGUCUUGGACGACUAUGAUUGAUGGAUAUUGUAGCAAUGGAGGUGUAGAUGAUGCUAGGUUGUUGUUUGAUAUGAUGCCUAACAGGAAUUUGUAUUCUUGGAACGCGAUGAUUGGUGGGUAUUGUCAUAAUAAGAGACCCCAUGAGGCGUUAGUGUUGUUCGAGCAACUGCUUGCACAGAAACUGUUUGAGCUGGAUGAUGUUACCGUUGUUAGUAUUCUUCCAGCAAUCACGGAUUUGGGUGCUCUGGAUUUGGGGAAUUGGGUUUAUAAGCUUGUGAAGAAGAAGAAGUUGGAUAGAUCUGCAAAUGUUUCCACAGCAUUGGUUGAUAUGUAUGGUAAAUGUGGGGAAAUUGAGAAAGCAAGAAGAGUCUUUGAUGAGGUUGAGGCAAGAGAGACAUGCACAUGGAAUGCUUUGAUUAAUGGUCUGGCUCUCAAUGGGUGUGCUAAGGAGGCACUAGAGGUGUUUGUAGAGAUGAAGAGAGAGGGGUUUAAUCCAAACGACAUAACCAUGCUUGGUGUCCUGUCAGCUUGCAACCACGGUGGUUUAGUGGAGGAAGGAAAGAGAUGGUUCAGUAAAAUGGCUGCAUUUAGGCUGACUCCAAAAAUUGAGCAUUAUGGUUGUUUAAUUGAUCUAUUGGGUAGGGCUGGACAUUUGGAGGAAGCGGAGAGGUUGAUGAAGAGCAUGCCGUAUGAGGCGAAUGGGAUCAUUUUGAGUUCUUUUGUUUUUGCUUGCGGUUAUGCUAAGGAUGUCAGCAAGGCUGAAAAGGUGGUGGAGAAGGCAAUUACUGCGGAUCCAUGUAACGAUGGCAACUACAUCAUGCUGAGGAAUUUGUAUGCAACUGAGAGAAGAUGGAGGGAUGUGGAACGAAUUAAAAGAAAGAUGGUGAUUGGGGGGGCUAAGAAAGAGGUGGGAUGUAGUGCCAUUGAGAUCAAUAACCAUGUUUUGGAGUUUAUUGCUGGGGAUAAGAAGCUUCCGCAUUUGGAAGCCACACAUUUGGUCUUGGAUCAAUUGCAGAUGCACAUCAAGCUGCAGGAGCCCUUCUUCAAUAUGGAUGCAAUCUUAUACACGUGAACAAAAAAAACCAUUUUUAUUAAUGCCAAAAAGUCAAGAACAAAGGAUGUUCUUUGCAGAAGAUCAUGCAUGCUUCCAUUAUCCAUCCAAUGCUAUGGAGCCAACAUCUUGGAGUGAAAUUUGAAUUUCUGUUUUGGGCUCAAGUUGGAUAGCUGUGAAUUUCAUGGCUUCUCAAAAAUUAAGGAGCCAUCAUCAGAGGAUUGGAAGUUUCAGAUUUUCAUCAUGGGGAAUCCAAGCUCCAAAUGUGCAGGAAAUAUUUCUCUACAUUUUCCUUGCUUCUAUUCUAAUAUUGAGAAUCCUGUGCAUAGUAGGAUUGUGAUAAGCGAUGUCAAUAAUAUAUCUCCAUUUUUUCUCAAAUGCAAAAAAGGUACCACGUUGACAUGAAGGAGUGGGAAAAGGAUCAUGUUAGUUCUUUCUAGUUGCCAAAAAUUUUUAGAGCGUGCUAAUUUGCUACUGACCAAAACGUGGUUAAUUAUUGUAACACUUUAUAAAAUAACUCCAUUUUUGUGUCUUA